rnacentral:lncRNA from 1 species
UCAUCUGCUGUGGGUGUUCCUGAUCUUUGAGCCAUGAUAAUGUUACUGGUUGGAUGUCAGGAGCAGGCCAUGUGGAUGAUUAAAAGAUGAAUAUCAUAUACAGCAUGGAUAUGUUGGACAAAAAGAUGAUUCACAUCCCAGACAGAAUGGAGCAGCACAUUUAUUAAAAGCCAGAAGCUAGAAGACGAGGAAAGAAGAGGUGGUUAAAGAAAGAUACAGUAACAGCAGUAAUAUCUAACAGGAAGGCUACAGGGGAAAAUACAGAAAUUCCAUAAAGAACAAACACUGUAACUCAAAACCAAAGCUUUGCUAGUCACUAGUGCCCGCUACAUCCUAACAGAUGCAGCUGGAGAGCCUGGGGUGAGAACAUGAGCAGUCUAUAAUCAGAAAAUCCCUUUGGGAUAAAUUGACAAAAAUAUAAACCACUCCACAAAGGAGAAAUUGUAAAUGGUAUAUCUGAGAUCUGAGAUGAUAGGCGACUCCAUUCAAAGCAAAAGAAAACAAAACAAACAAAAAUACUUUUAUUGGAUAAACAGCUGCCACCACCUGCUUCCUGUCAUGGGGUCAGUUGAAGGAAAGAAACACAAACUUCUACUAUGUUCAGCCUUUGUCUUACUUCUUCUGAAAGCUCCUAGGUAGUAGGCAUUUUGCAUGAUGGACAUUGCUCUUGGCAGAACUCACUCUUGCCUCAU